rnacentral:rRNA from 1 species
AUUGAACGCUGGCGGCGUGCCUAACACAUGCAAGUCGAGCGGGAACCUGAGGAGGGGUAACCCUCUUCAGGGGAGAGCGGCGAACGGGUGAGUAUCACGUGGGCAACCUGCCCCGGACACCGGGAUAACCCAGGGAAACCUGAGCUAAUACCGGAUACUCCGGUUGGAUCGCAUGGUCCGAUCGGGAAAGCUCCGACGGUCCGGGAUGGGCCCGCGGCCUAUCAGCUUGUUGGUGGGGUAACGGCCCACCAAGGCGACGACGGGUAGCUGGUCUGAGAGGACGGCCAGCCACACUGGGACUGAGACACGGCCCAGACUCCUACGGGAGGCAGCAGUGGGGAAUAUUGCGCUAAUGCGCGAAAGCGUGACGCAGCGACGCCGCGUGGGGGAUGAAGGCCCUCGGGUCGUAAACCCCUUUCGCCAGGGACGAAGGGAAACUGACGGUACCUGGAGAAGAAGUCCCGGCUAACUACGUGCCAGCCGCCGCAGUAAUAC